GGGCGAUUAGCUCAGUGGGAGAGCACCUGCCUUACAAGCAGGGGGCCAGUGGUUCAAGUCCACUAUCGCCCACCA
rnacentral:tRNA from 2 species